UACGUAGGGACCAAGCGUUGUUCGGAUUUACUGGGCGUAAAGGGCGCGUAGGCGGCGUGGUAAGUCACUUGUGAAAUCUCUGAGCUUAACUCAGAACGGCCAAGUGAUACUGCUGUGCUCGAGUGUGGAAGGGGCAAUCGGAAUUCUUGGUGUAGCGGUGAGAUGCGUAGAUAUCAAGAGGAACACCUGAGGUGAAGACGGGUUGCUGGGCUGACACUGACGCUGAGGCGCGAAAGCUAGGGGAGCAAACAGG
rnacentral:rRNA from 1 species